GAGUUUGAUCCUGGCUCAGAACGAACGCUGGCGGCAGGCCUAACACAUGCAAGUCGAACGCUCGUAGCAAUACGAGAGUGGCAGACGGGUGAGUAACACGUGGGAACCUUCCCUAUGGUUCGGAAUAGCUCAGGGAAACUUGGGGUAAUACCGGAUAAGCCCUUCGGGGGAAAGAUUUAUCGCCAUUGGAUGGGCCCGCGUCGGAUUAGCUAGUUGGUGAGGUAACGGCUCACCAAGGCAACGAUCCGUAGCUGGUCUGAGAGGAUGAUCAGCCACACUGGGACUGAGACACGGCCCAGACUCCUACGGGAGGCAGCAGUGGGGAAUAUUGGACAAUGGGCGCAAGCCUGAUCCAGCCAUGCCGCGUGAGUGACGAAGGUCUUCGGAUUGUAAAACUCUUUUGGCGGGGACGAUAAUGACGGUACCGCAGAAUAGGCCCCGGCUAACUUCGUGCCAGCCGCCGCUGUAAU
rnacentral:rRNA from 1 species